UGGAGAGUUUGAUCCUGGCUCAGAAUGAACGCUGGCGGCAGGCCUAACACAUGCAAGUCGAGCGGUAGAGAGAAGCUUGCUUCUCUUGAGAGCGGCGGACGGGUGAGUAAUGCCUAGGAAUCUGCCUGGUAGUGGGGGAUAACGUCCGGAAACGGACGCUAAUACCGCAUACGUCCUACGGGAGAAAGCAGGGGACCUUCGGGCCUUGCGCUAUCAGAUGAGCCUAGGUCGGAUUAGCUAGUUGGUGAGGUAAUGGCUCACCAAGGCGACGAUCCGUAACUGGUCUGAGAGGAUGAUCAGUCACACUGGAACUGAGACACGGUCCAGACUCCUACGGGAGGCAGCAGUGGGGAAUAUUGGACAAUGGGCGAAAGCCUGAUCCAKCCAUGCCGCGUGUGUGAAGAAGGUCUUCGGAUUGUAAAGCACUUUAAGUUGGGAGGAAGGGCAUUAACCUAAUACGUUAGUGUUUUGACGUUACCGACAGAAUAAGCACCGGCUAACUCUGUGCCAGCAGCCGCGGUA
rnacentral:rRNA from 1 species